AGAACAGGUAACCAUAUAUCCCAGACCCUAAUUUGGCAUUCGCAAUAUGAGUGUAAAGGAGAUGUAUCAAGAUGUAGAUACUUAAAUAUAGAAUAUAGUGUGUGUCAUUUAGGAGUAGGAGAACCUAAGUGCUUCAGUCCUGAGUAUCAACCCCGUACAAUUUGGUUGACUCUCAGAAAUGGAGAUUCUCAGGGGACCCUAAUUAAUAAGACGGUAUUAAAAUCCGUAUAUUCUUCAGAUG